GGUGAGUAACACGUGGGUAACCUGCCCAUCAGAAGGGGAUAACACUUGGAAACAGGUGCUAAUACCGUAUAACAAUCAAAACCGCAUGGUUUUGAUUUGAAAGGCGCUUUCGGGUGUCGCUGAUGGAUGGACCCGCGGUGCAUUAGCUAGUUGGUGAGGUAACGGCUCACCAAGGCCACGAUGCAUAGCCGACCUGAGAGGGUGAUCGGCCACAUUGGGACUGAGACACGGCCCAAACUCCUACGGGAGGCAGCAGUAGGGAAUCUUCGGCAAUGGACGAAAGUCUGACCGAGCAACGCCGCGUGAGUGAAGAAGGUUUUCGGAUCGUAAAGCUCUGUUGUUAGAGAAGAACAAGGAUGAGAGUAACUGUUCAUCCCUUGACGGUAUCUAACCAGAAAGCCACGGCUAACUACGUGCCGGCAGCCGCGGUAAUACGUAGGUGGCAAGCGUUGUCCGGAUUUAUUGGGCGUAAAGCGAGCGCAGGCGGUUUCUUAAGUCUGAUGUGAAAGCCCCCGGCUCAACCGGGGAGGGUCAUUGGAAACUGGGAGACUUGAGUGCAGAAGAGGAGAGUGGAAUUCCAUGUGUAGCGGUGAAAUGCGUAGAUAUAUGGAGGAACACCAGUGGCGAAGGCGGCUCUCUGGUCUGUAACUGACGCUGAGGCUCGAAAGCGUGGGGAGCAAACA
rnacentral:rRNA from 1 species